ACGAAAAAUGAAUACCAAGUCUCAAGAGUGAACACGUAAUUCAUUACGAAGUUUAAUUCAUUGAGCAUCAAACUUUUAAAUUGAAGAGUUUGAUCAUGGCUCAGAUUGAACGCUGGCGGCAGGCCUAACACAUGCAAGUCGAACGGUAACAGGAAGCAGCUUGCUGCUUUGCUGACGAGUGGCGGACGGGUGAGUAAUGUCUGGGAAACUGCCUGAUGGAGGGGGAUAACUACUGGAAACGGUGGCUAAUACCGCAUAACGUCGCAAGACCAAAGAGGGGGACCUUCGGGCCUCUUGCCAUCAGAUGUGNNNNNNNNNNNNNNNNNNNNGGCGACGAUCCCUAGCUGGUCUGAGAGGAUGACCAGCCACACUGGAACUGAGACACGGUCCAGACUCCUACGGGAGGCAGCAGUGGGGAAUAUUGCACAAUGGGCGCAAGCCUGAUGCAGCCAUGCCGCGUGUAUGAAGAAGGCCUUCGGGUUGUAAAGUACUUUCAGCGGGGAGGAAGGUGUUGUGGUUAAUAACCGCAGCAAUUGACGUUACCCGCAGAAGAAGCACCGGCUAACUCCGUGCCAGCAGCCGCGGUAAUACGGAGGGUGCAAGCGUUAAUCGGAAUUACUGGGCGUAAAGCGCACGCAGGCGGUCUGUCAAGUCGGAUGUGAAAUCCCCGGGCUCAACCUGGGAACUGCAUUCGAAACUGGCAGGCUUGAGUCUUGUAGAGGGGGGUAGAAUUCCAGGUGUAGCGGUGAAAUGCGUAGAGAUCUGGAGGAAUACCGGUGGCGAAGGCGGCCCCCUGGACAAAGACUGACGCUCAGGUGCGAAAGCGUGGGGAGCAAACAGGAUUAGAUACCCUGGUAGUCCACGCCGUAAACGAUGUCUACUUGGAGGUUGUGCCCUUGAGGCGUGGCUUCCGGAGCUAACGCGUUAAGUAGACCGCCUGGGGAGUACGGCCGCAAGGUUAAAACUCAAAUGAAUUGACGGGGGCCCGCACAAGCGGUGGAGCAUGUGGUUUAAUUCGAUGCAACGCGAAGAACCUUACCUGGUCUUGACAUCCACGGAAGUUUUCAGAGAUGAGAAUGUGCCUUCGGGAACCGUGAGACAGGUGCUGCAUGGCUGUCGUCAGCUCGUGUUGUGAAAUGUUGGGUUAAGUCCCGCAACGAGCGCAACCCUUAUCCUUUGUUGCCAGCGGUCCGGCCGGGAACUCAAAGGAGACUGCCAGUGAUAAACUGGAGGAAGGUGGGGAUGACGUCAAGUCAUCAUGGCCCUUACGACCAGGGCUACACACGUGCUACAAUGGCGCAUACAAAGAGAAGCGACCUCGCGAGAGCAAGCGGACCUCAUAAAGUGCGUCGUAGUCCGGAUUGGAGUCUGCAACUCGACUCCAUGAAGUCGGAAUCGCUAGUAAUCGUGGAUCAGAAUGCCACGGUGAAUACGUUCCCGGGCCUUGUACACACCGCCCGUCACACCAUGGGAGUGGGUUGCAAAAGAAGUAGGUAGCUUAACCUUCGGGAGGGCGCUUACCACUUUGUGAUUCAUGACUGGGGUGAAGUCGUAACAAGGUAACCGUAGGGGAACCUGCGGUUGGAUCACCUCCUUACCUUAAAGAAGCGUACUUUGCAGUGCUCACACAGAUUGUCUGAUGAAAA
rnacentral:rRNA from 1 species